AUUGAACGCUGGCGGCAUGCCUUACACAUGCAAGUCGAACGGCAGCACGGGAGCAAUCCUGGCGGCGAGUGGCGAACGGGUGAGUAAUAUAUCGGAACGUGCCCAGUAAUGGGGGAUAGCCCGGCGAAAGCCGGAUUAAUACCGCAUACGACCUACGGGUGAAAGCCGGGGAUCGCAAGACCUUGCGUUAUUGGAGCGGCCGAUAUCGGAUUAGCUAGUUGGUGGGGUAAAAGCCUACCAAGGCGACGAUCCGUAGCUGGUCUGAGAGGACGACCAGCCACACUGGGACUGAGACACGGCCCAGACUCCUACGGGAGGCAGCAGUGGGGAAUUUUGGACAAUGGGCGCAAGCCUGAUCCAGCCAUGCCGCGUGUGGGAAGAAGGCCUUCGGGUUGUAAACCACUUUUGUCAGGGAAGAAACGCUCUGGGCUAAUACCCUGGGGUAAUGACGGUACCUGAAGAAUAAGCACCGGCUAACUACGUGCCAGCAGCCGCAGUAAGAC
rnacentral:rRNA from 1 species